UGGCUCUCGCAUCGAUGAAGAACGCAGCGAAAUGCGAUAAGUAAUGUGAAUUGCAGAAUUCAGUGAAUCAUCGAAUCUUUGAACGCACCUUGCGCUCCUUGGUAUUCCGAGGAGCAUGCCUGUUUGAGUGUCUUGAAGUCAUCAACCCCUCCCGUUUUUUGCUAGCGGAGAGUAAGGUUGGACGUGGGGGUUUGUUGCGGGAGCCCGCGAGGGCCCCGCUCCCCUCAAAUGCGUCGGUUGGGCCUGUUGGGUCGAACUCGGUCGGGCGUUGUACCAUCCUCGCUCUUGCUCCGAGACGUUCCCCCUCAGUCUUAUCGCCCUCCCACGACCGCCUCUUUCGAACGGUGGCGGUCAACGUGUGAAGCACUUUGAAAUCUGACCUCAAAUCAGGUAGGACUACCCGCUGA
rnacentral:misc_RNA from 1 species